UGGAAAUGGGGAAUGUGCCAAAGAGACAACAACCCGACCAUAGAAAAAAACAACAGCAGAAGGUCACCAACAGGUCUUCAAUGUAGCGAGAAAUUCCCGCACCCGGAGGCGUCCUUCAGCUGGCCCCUAAACAAAUAUAUACUAGUUCAGUGAUAAUGAACGCCAUACUAAUUUCCAAAUUGUACACAAGAAACUAAAAUUAAAAUAAUACAAGACUAACAAAGGCCAGAGGCUCCUGACUUGGGACAGGCGCAAAAAUGCGCGGGGUUAAA
rnacentral:lncRNA from 1 species